UAGGGAAUCUUCCACAAUGGGCGAAAGCCUGAUGGAGCAACGCCGCGUGUGUGAUGAAGGGUUUCGGCUCGUAAAACACUGUUGUAAGAGAAGAAUGACAUUGAGAGUAACUGUUCAAUGUGUAACGGUNUCUUACCAGAAAGGAACGGCUAAAUACGUGCCAG
rnacentral:rRNA from 1 species